UGCAUAUGAUGCAUUUGUAAGCCUUUGUAUGCAUGUGUGUACCCAUAUAUGUGUAUGAACUUUCGGAUCAAAUUGUUUGAUUCGAAGAGCUCAAUUCAUCUAAUAAGGAUCGGAGUCGCACCGGUGUUUCCUUCGAGCAUUGGCCGCUAGCACCGUUGAUCUCGAAGACUCGUCGACGAAGUCGGUGUGGAUACCGGUAGAGGCGUCAUGCGUGGGACGCUCGAUCGACAGUUUAAAAGAUUUCAGGUCUCAUUAGGGAGCGGAGAACCGAGAUUAAACGUCAGAAAAGGAAAAAGUGCGAGAAGUUAACGUAAGAGACGGAAACAUAAAAUGCGGUAUUUAAGUAUAUAUGCAUAUACGUGCGAGAAAUGAAGAAAGGGAGAGGAAAUGGGUUCGGGCCCGAGCUAGGGAGCUUGAAUCCGAGCUGACCAGCAAGCUCCAAGUGGAGUUCUACCUUUGUUCGAGUUGAUUUUCGGAAACAACAAGCUUGGACGAUGGAAAGAGUUGUGAAGAAAUCAAGAGCGAAGGGCAAUACCCCUCCACCAAUUGGGCCAUAGAUGCUCCAGCACCAGAUCUUUUCAUCCUACUCGAGGACUGGCAUCUACAGCAUGGGCUAGGACCCCAUCACAGUCUCAGCUCCUCGGAUCCCCGAUACAGAUCAACCAUCGAUCCCUCAGCAACUGCAACCGGAAGCUCAAUAAUUGCCCACGAUUCCCCUAGAAGCGCAAGAAGGAGACAAAGCCCAACAAGGGGCCCAACUGUAACGGGUCCCUAUUGAUCGAUCAUCUAUAGAGUCGAGUGGGGGAACAAGCAUGGACCAUAGGACCGAAUUGCACAAAGAGUUACCUGAGGGGUUCUGGCAGUCGAAGGAAGGCUUUGGUCCGAUGGUGGAAAUAUUAACACAGAGAUUAUGAGCCUUGGGCUAGAUGAUUUGAUAUUCUUGAUGAGACGUUGGACUUGUGGUUUGCAUUGUGGAAGUCUCUGGAAUACCACAUCAAUAAGGCCUUCAAUGCUCGAGGGUCAAAGCAUAUGAGGCAGCUGAUGGCCAUUCUUCGUGCCAAAGGGAAAAGGCCAAAAUGGAUUUCGGAGGAGCAUUCGAUGAAGAUUUGAGAUUUCUUGCAAAAAGAAGAAUACAAAAAGGUUUGUGCGAAAAAUAAGGAGAAUCAAGCUUCGGUCAAGGGGGGUUCAUUGCAUAAGGGAGGAUGCAUUACUCCCACUAUCUCACAAGCUAAUAUGGAGAAGAAAUGGAGACGGCGAGUUAGUCUGGUGGAGUUAUUCAAGGAGCUCCACAAGAAGAGGGAUGGUACCUAUGUGGAGCCAUAGGAAGAAAAAGCUAUGGUGAUUAAGGUUUUCUAUUGUAUCUAUAUAAAAUACUAAAAGCCGGGUCAAAGCAUUGGGAAGCCUCACGUGACCCUUUGUCUGACUGCCAUUACCCAUACCAUAAGUGGCACAAUAUUAUAUUGCCCAUUUCACGAAAUCGAAAUUUAUUGCAAUCAUGGAAGACGAAAAGAUUAAUAUAAUAGAUUUAUUAAACUAUUCAUAUUUUAAAUGGUGAUUUACAUUUCAGUUGAGACAUUUCCACGAAAAUAUUAGAUAUCUAGGAAAAUAUACAAUAUUAGUCAACCAAAAUGUUUAAUAGAAACUGUAAUGAAGAUAAAAUCAUUUUUAUAGAGUUAUAAUAGUAAUUUUAUUGAUAUCCAACAGAAAAAUAAUAAUUUUAUUAAUUAUUGAAACCAUGCUAGCCUGCGAAUAUGCGUAGGUCUGUUCAACUAGUUGAAGUUAAUUUGUGGUGGCAUUUAGGGAUUCUUACAUAUAUGUUUUCGAGCCUAAUCUUUUUAUUGUAGGUGGAUUUCGACAAGUUGAAUACUUCCCAGGAGGAGGAUGAAGAGGGCCCAAGUGGUCUCGCUAAGCUUGACCUUAGGACGAAGGCCGUGGGAGGCUCUAACAAGAAGGGACAGAUGUAUGGGUUAAAGCAUCUCAACCUCUUCGAUAUCCCGGGCUCCUCGCACUUCAUGGAGCGAGACGCCGAACGGAUGAGGACACACACCUCUCUAUUGGAUGCAAAGAUAAGAGCCAACGUGCAGGAGGAGAUUGCCAAUGUAAGGGCGGUGUAAGUACCCCUUUUUGGCCCAGGCCUGGUCACUAACAAAAAAGAAUCCCCAAGCACUUUAUUAGCUGCGUAGCAGACUCAAACGGAAGAACAUGCAUAGGAUUAAAACUCAGAAGACGGUUUUGAAGACACAUAAGAUAAGUCCUCGAGUGCUAUCCUCAAGUAACUUUUUUAUUUUUGGUGUCAUUUUUGGAAUAAUACGGUGGUUGGCAAUAUUUUUCUCAGGAUUUGCACGUGAGAAAAUCAAUUUCCUAGAAUAACAUGGAAUUCCUUGAGAUUUUUAUUUUAAACCUGACUAUUCAUAUUUUUCCUUAAAAUCGACACCUCAGUUAUUCUCAAUUGAUAAACGAAAUUCAAAUGCUUUAAUCGACACCUCAAUUAUUCUCAAUUGAUAAAAAAAAUUCGAAUACUUUGAUUAUCACGCUUUAUCAAAUAGAGGAAGGGUUCAAAAUAGAGGAUUCUAUAUUCUCACAUAGUGAAAAAAUAUUCAUUUUGGUGUUUCAGUCAAGAAAUCAUUUUAUGAAACUAAAAAUAUUUUAUGGUGAAUUUUCUCAGCUCAAAAGUACUAUAAAGUCUUCAAAAUGGGUAAAAAUGAAGUUCUUCGAUAAGUUUGAGGACGAACACACUAUUAUUUCCGAUAAAAUCAAUUCAGUUCGAAGUAAUUGAACUAAGUUCCAAGAAAUCGCUAAAUUUAGGACGUCGACAUGGUUGAAAACCGCGCCUGGAGCCCUGGGCACGGUUUGGAACAGCACCCAAUGGCCAGCUGGCCAUCCUCAUCCAGAUGGCUAGCUGGCACGUGUUUGACCUCUAACAAAUAUCCCUUCAUUUUGAUCAACAGUUUACGAAAUUGCGAAAGGACCUCCGACUCCCCUUUCUCUACAAAUAUCGGGUCAUUUUCAAAAGAAAAGACCUUUCGGCAAACUUCAUGUGCUAAGCCUUCGCCAAAAUACCCCAAAAUUCAAUUAAUACACCUAAGCUCAUAUAUAUUUAGUAGGAUUUUCAAGAGCUUAAGCCCGGUCUUGACAUUUCUAAGGUCGGAGAUCCGAGCUAUUGCCCAAACUAAGUUAAAGGAGGAUUUAUGCCUCUGGUCUGACUUUGAAUCGAGCUUCCUUUCUCGCAUUUGCGUCGGGAAUCUCUUAUUUUACGCAUUUCAUAGCUAAAUAUGCUAAUAGUAGUUAAUUGUGCUUGAUUAGUGCCCAAACUAUGAUUAAUCGAGUAGUGGCAUGCUAAUUAGGUUCAAAUUUGGCUAAAUUUGUCCUAAUUACUCUCGGGUCUUUACUGUGCAUGUGGUAUCCGAGUCCAAUUCGUAAUUAAUUGAGUCGAUUGGAGCCUCAAUCGCAUGGAGUUGGAUUUUAAUGACACCUUGCUAGGAUUAGUUCUAUUUGUGUUUAAUUAGGCAAAUUGAGCAUGCAUUGAACUCUUUAUCCUCUGUUACAUUUUCGUUGUCAUGAUAAAGUAGGCUUAGAUGAGUCGAUUUGGUGAUUUAUGGCUCAAUUUGGCUUAAUCUCGCAUGAUAAAGGUCUAAUUAGGGUAUUUGGGUCUUGAUUAUGGUGAAUUAGGUUCGAUUGCUUCAAAUUGGCGUAUGAAAUGUUGAAUGUGUGUUCGGAAGCCCUGGGAUGAGCUGGAGUUGAGUGGGAUUAAGAUGCAAUCGAAGUCAAUUUGUGCACAAUUCAGUCUGAUUAGGUGGAAUUAGCUUAGAAUUGACUUAAUUAGUAUUCCGCCUCUAAGAAUUUGUCCAAUUUGUGUGAAUUUGGUGUCAAUAGGCUCAAUUAGUGGAAUUGUACAUUAUAUGAGUAUAUGUAUAUGUGACCGACUAUGUAUUUGGUGUCUAAGUGUCAAAAUUUGGUUCAAUUAAUCAAUUGAGGUCCAAUCUUGUUAAUUCAUGUACAUUUGACGUUAAUUCAUGGGGUUCAAGAUUAAUCACCCACUUAGUACAAAAGUCUUAGGUUUAAUCGGAGAAGAUCCUAGUGGUCUUGAGGGUAGGAUUCUUAGAGUCGGGAUUAAAUUGUGAUCGAGUCCUCACUUGGUGAAAAAUUGAAAUUGUUAGAAUAAGUGUCUGAUAUUUGUGAUAAUUGGUCAAUUGGAAUCAAACAGGUCAAUCACUUAAAUUUGAUAGUUAGUCCACGAGGUUGGGGAUAAGGAACUCAUUUUAAGUGUUCUAGGAUCUAAAUUGAAUGUCAUUCUUGACAUUGAGUGCUUUACGACUUUUUUUUAGAUUUUUGGGGAAUUAACGGAUAAUCAUGUAAAUUUAGCCCAAUUAAAUGGGAAUAAAUUGGAAAAGAUAAAACUUGUAAAUAAAAAGAGUACACUUAGGAAAUUCACUUAGAUUUUUCCUAGACUAAGGGCUUUAGGCCCACCCUCAUGCUUUUGGGCCUUGGACCCGCUUUGUAGGUCCACUUAGUUCAUUUUCCUAGACUAAGGGCUCUAGGCCCACCCUCAGGAUGUAUGUGAAUGAAUGUGACUAUGGACAUGGUGUAUGAAUGGAUGUAUGCAUCAUGUAUGUAUGGUAUGAAUGCAUAUGGGCAAAUGUGAAUGUAUGAUGGCCCAUCUUGUAAUUAUUGUACAUAUAUACAUAAAUACACGGGUAAGACUAUCGAACUUAGGAUAAAACAAUUGGACUUUAAAUUAAUCUUAAAAUUGACAAGUUAGUGAAUGAACCGGAGCAUUGGAUACCAAUUCGGGCGGAACUAUUGCUUGCGAGCGGUAGGAUCGUAAUAGAGCCUCCAGACUAGGAUCACUAGUUCAAAGACCAGCAAACUAUAAAUUCAUAGGAGGUUAGUAUCUUGGCCCAUAGUGGAUUGAUAGGUGGAUUACCGGCCUAUGAAAAUGAUUAGUGCCGACUCCAAACUAGUCCCGAGCAAUUGGACUAAUCUAACCCCAAGUCGGGUUGGGAUUUUCCCUCCGAUUGGUGGUAUUGCAGGAAAUUCUGUCAGAGGAGAGAGCCGGACCAGAUAGUAGAAUGGAGAAGAUGGUGAAGAAGAUAAAGAAACAGUAUCAGGCAAACAAGGAAAGGUUUGUCUCCAUGGAGAACAAGAUGGAUCCAGACUCUAACUUGAUGACGCAACAGUUCAAAAACUUGAAUAAGAGGUUGAAGAUUGACGAUAGCAGCUCCCCGGGUAAGGAGAAGAAGAAGAAGCUGGAGUGUUCCCGAGAGGAGGACGAUCAGGACGGGGAUGCCUCCGACAAUGGUGGGGAAUUAGCAAGUACUUUGAUGAUGAAACGGAAGAGAACUAGUCAUUUAUUUGAAUUUACUAGCUAGUUUAUAUUUUGUUUGCUAAAACUUGAUCUGACUAUUACUAUGUUAGUUGAAACUAUAUGUCUGCAUUUUGGAUUGAUGUCUGCUUGAAUCUAUAUACAUUUGGAUUGCAUUGGGUUUUACUGUA